UCCCCUCUCCCACGCUCUUUCCAGGCGGCUAGGGCUGCCGCCGUCGGAGGUGCCACUGGUUCGCCGGCCGCUGCAGUCCCAUCUCCCCUUCCCUCUCCCAGGAUCCUAGGCGGGCACGCCACCCCCUCUCCCCUCUCUUACCUCGUUUCUCCCAUCUUCCUCAAAGAGGAGGAGAGGACGCAACUGGGGCGAUUCAGCGGAGUUGAGGCCGGAGCGGUGGAUCGGAGUUUGCGUCGCGGGAUGGAAGGAAGACGAGCUGCAGGUGCACUCGCUGUCGCCCCGAGCGCUUGUCCUAGGUCAUCUUUGCCUCCUCCCCGCAGCCCCGCCCCCCUGGCUGCCGCCUGGAGCACCUGGCCUUGGUCGUCGUUGCAGCUCCCCAUGGCCCCGCUCCACCACUCCACCACCGUGUUCGCCAUGACCAGUGUCUCUACAGGUCGUUGUUACUGCUGCUCUUCUUCCGUCAGGCAGAAAGGUAGCUAAAUGCAGCAAGCAGGCAAAUUGCAUUGCUGGUAUUACCCCAAAAAAAUUACUUUGGUGGAUCAAGUAGGUGUUGAAUCUGGAAAUCAGGUACACACAACUCCAGUUUUUUUUGUUUAGUUAAAUGCCUUGAAGAGUAAAGAUGUAAACUAGGCAUACCUAUACAAUCACCGUAGCAUGUCUUAUAUCCAUAACUACAUUACCGAUUCAGAUAUCAAGUAUGUAUCAGGUAGGAGAUCAAUCUAUUUGUUUCCUUUGAUACUUUCUCCCAAACAUGGCCUCACUUCACGUUGCGAAGCCCUAAUGGCGGUGCCGGCACUCCUCCUGUCAAGCAGGCCAUACCCUUGUGUGUCACAGGCUUGUGCCUGACGCUACAGGGAGAUGAGCACAUCGGGUGGGAGAAAGAAGCUGUCUUUGGCCGGUUGAGAGGGUCGAUGAGGUUGUUUUGCAGUUUCUUGGUAGUUUCAUAGAAACAUGAGUUACUUCUUGUUGGUCACUGACUCCUAUUUCAUUGUUUUAGCUACAAAGUCAGUUGUUGAAUUGGUACCUACCUGAAAUAUGAGGUCAUAUAUCUUCUUCUAAAUGCAGGAUUUCCUUGUACUGAUACAGUAGAGAACACUGCAGAUUCAUAGGGUAAAGCAAACCGGCAGCAUAAAAAUGAUCUCUAUGGAACUAUCACCAUAGGAGAUUUUAUCUGAUUAGGGCAGCUGGACAGAAUCUGAAUUAGGUCAACUGAGCAACCAUUGCUCCCUUGUACCGCGGCAAAAUGAUUGAUGAACUUCUCCUGAAGUGAUGCAUUUUUGAAAUGGUGAAACCUCUUGCAUUACCUGAAUAGCUGAUCACAUCACUUCUGGCAUGAGUACAUCAGUCUCGUGGAUGGCGUCACAGCAUGGCUCGAUUGUGGCGGCACGGUUUGGUUCGAUGGCUGGGCGAGGUCGUUGGGAAAGGAGGCGGACACGGGGAAGGUGGCACGCUCAGUGCCGCUUGACCACGUCAUCCCCACCGAUGCCGAUGAGCUCAGCCUCGGUUGCAGCGGGCUCCUGGCCAUAGCCAUGGACCACCUCGAGCGAAAGCCUACCGCGGUGGCCGACCUGUGAGGUUCUUGAGGACUACCUAAAGAAUUUUAGAGUCUUGGAGGGGAAGACGACGCCACCCAACAUUGGUAAUAUCUGGAGGACGCAUUAAAAAAAAAUAUCAGUUACAGCUGUUUGCGGACCCAUUACUCGGGCAAGGCCGCCGCCGCCACUCGCAUCGUCACACCAACUACAAGCACUGGAUAUGGAUAUGUUGAUAAGGUUGCAGAACGCGUGACUGUACAAGUAGGUGUGGUUAACCUUCUAUUGGAGAAACAUGGAGGAACUGGCUUGCAAGGACAUGCAACAUGUUGGUGUGGAUGGAGGCGAUGUAGAGAUGAAUGAGGGCGACGGAAGGAAGCAGUAGCAGCUCGAUCCAGGAAGCAACAGCUGGCGCGCUCCUAGAUGGUGACACACAUUGAAAUUGAUUCUACUGUAAGCUUAUUCGCAGUUUUUCGUAUUGAUCCAUCAAGGUAUGGUUGUAAUGAAUAUUUUAUAUGGCUACAUCCAAGAUAUCAAGAGAUCCUAAUGCUAUAGCAUACACUCAUAUCAAUGUAUUUGAUCUGAGAUUGAGGAUGAAAUAUGGCUGCUGAAUGUGUUAAGACAACAUAAGUGUGCACAAGCCUGCCUCAGGAGGCGCCACCAGGUGGCGCCCCAACCGCUAGUAUUCUUUCAAUGGGAGAUGACGUUUUCGUCAAUAGCAAGGUGUCUAUGGUGACUUUGUCAAUCAUAAGACCCGCCCGCUCAAGUAUCUUGAGGUGCUAAUACGGAUAGGACGUGCAUCCACGGGUUUAUAUGGGUGAGUAAGUAUAUGCAUGCAAAGUGUCUGCGUCUCUGUAUUUUGUUUACAAAUAAUAAUAUAUUUAAGGGUAAACAUGCUUUACUUUAUUCAAAAUUUAUAGUUUAAAGGAAUGGUUAAAGGAUCAUGAGGGUUUAUAAGCUACAUGUGGCAAUCCUCAGCUAAAUGUAAAGUAUGUUUAGCUAAAUUGUGCACUUUCAAAUUGGAAAGACAUCCCUUCAUGCACAAAAGUAACAGAAGCAAAUUCCUUUGCAGUAACGUUGAUUUCUUUCACCACCUAGCCAGGAAUUCCUUUUUUAUCUUUUUGUUGUUGAAAACAUACAAUACAUUUCUUUUGGGAAUUAGAAAAAUUACA